UACGGAGGGGGCUAGCGUUGUUCGGAAUUACUGGGCGUAAAGCGCACGUAGGCGGCUUUGUAAGUUAGAGGUGAAAGCCCGGGGCUCAACUCCGGAAUUGCCUUUAAGACUGCAUCGCUAGAAUUGUGGAGAGGUAAGUGGAAUUCCGAGUGUAGAGGUGAAAUUCGUAGAGAUCGGGAGGAAGGCCGGUGGCGAAGGCGGCGCUCUGGAACGUUUCUGACACUGAGGCUCGAAAGCGUGGGGAGCAAACAGG
rnacentral:rRNA from 1 species